GAGAUGGUCAGGCUCACCGGCAGGGUUGUGGACGCCAUGUCUGAGAAGCAGCCGCAGCCCGGGGUUAGACGUGGAGAAGGUUCAGUCCACCGUCCGCCAGGCUGUGCGUGACUGGUCUCCAUCAGGCACAUUGGAGCGGCCCCGUCACUAGCAAGAGUGACCUCCUCUUCCCCAGGACACUGUGGAGGUACUGUCUGGGUCUCCAUGGUGGCCGGCGUCAUGGUGUGGAGCCUAACACUCUGGGCCUUGCUCAGGAUCGUACAAACUGGGGUGGAGAAGCACCCGAUGAAGCUCACCCGGGCACUUUUCUACGGGUGGGGCCUGCUGCUCGAGGACACGCCCUAUGACCCGCCCGAGGGAACACACGGCCUGGACAGCGGGGGCCGGGGAAGCAUGGUCCAGUAACACACUCAGUUAAAUUUACGAAAUAUUUUAUGAAAACAAAAUGCAAAGUUUAAUAAUGGCACCAAAUUUAUCAUUAACCAACAGCUAGACUGAUGAGUCAACAGUAAACAUUCAAAACUCUCAGUAACUUACGUAAGUCAGACAGCAACUUUAUAUCAAGCAAACUUAACAACUUUUUUUACAUGCUGCCAAUAGCGCCUGCAAGCUUUCUUGAGAGGCCUCUUGCUCGACCCCAGCCCGUUAGCUGCGCAGGCGAAUUUUUUUUUAUAUAGUGGCUGUCGUGAUGUAUGACUCUUGCUUGGUCCAUGCUGCCCCCCGGUGCUCCUCUUGGACGAAGUCACUGAAGUUAGGGUUGAUUGAAGGCCUGGGCUGCAUGUGGGUAAUCAUCCGCCACUCGGCGAUGGCUUGAAAUAUCAGCGCGUUUAGGUGGGACUCGAUCCUAGGUCCACGGGCUCACCACGUAAUAGGGUAUUAAUCCAAGGUUGAAUUUCCUGUCACAAACGCAUAAAAAAUAAAUCAUACUGUAGAAAUACUUGGUGACUCCUUAAAGUAAACGUUUUC